rnacentral:rRNA from 1 species
UACGGAGGAUGCAAGCGUUAUCCGGAAUGAUUGGGCGUAAAGCGUCCGCAGGUGGCUGUGUAAGUCUGCUGUCAAAGCGUCUGGCUCAACCAGAUAAAGGCAGUGGAAACUACAUAGCUAGAGUAAGGUAGGGGUAGAGGGAACUCCUGGUGUAGCGGUGAAAUGCGUAGAGAUCAGGAAGAACACCGGUGGCGAAAGCGCUCUGCUGGACCUUAACUGACACUGAGGGACGAAAGCUAGGGGAGCGAAUGGG